GACAAAGCCGAAGCAAACUUUCUCAAAACACUACACACAUUUGGAGGACUAACAAGCAAAGACAACAAGAGGGAGUGACACUAGCAAAAAGAGGAUCAACAAAGGGGGUUUUUCUUAAAUUCCUUACAACUUAAUUUGUGUUAAUUACCUCUUAAUUACGCUUUAGACGGUGAGUGUGUCUUCAAGGGCUCAAAGUGUCCAAGAAGCCUCACCUAGGGCCGAAUAGUAUAGCAUUCUUGUUUAGUAAUUGUUACUUGUUUGUAUUUGCUUU
rnacentral:lncRNA from 1 species